AAAAAUAGAAUAUAAAAACUUCUCUACUCCUGACUCACCAACGCACCAGAACAACUUUUAGUCCUGCAAUCAUGACCAUCCUUCCUUCUCUAAUAUUCUGACCACAUGUAUCAGUAUUCAGAAAAAAGCAAGAGCUUCUUCUCGCAGGCGGGAUUGCCAUUGAAGAGGAUGUCAAGAAAGAUGAGUCACUGUUAGGAUUGAUUCAUGAUACUUUAUUGCCAAGCUGCAUUUGCUGAUAGAGUCAUCUAUAUCCUGGUAUCCAUGGAACACAGUGGAAGGGAAAUCUGUCCUUGUCAUUACCUGGCCACAGGCCUCUUUUAAAAGAUACUAGAAAAUUAAUUAGACUGCAAAUUCACCCAUAAAAUUAAAGUAAAAGCUACCUGGGCUCAGGGCUCUGAAAGAGGAUAACUUAUUUGGAUUAGAAAAUUUGUCAUGUUGAGCUCAAGUAGCAUUAAUUUGUUUAGAAGAGAUAAUGAUAUUUCAUUAUUAUUCCCAACCCUGAAGUUAGUCAAGAAAUAACUAAAAUAAAUACCUUGUAAAUACUGACUACACAUAAUACUUAUACUCUAUAGCAACAUGGCCACACUCAGUAAUCUUGACAAGUUUAGGAAAGCAUUUAAAUAAAAUAAAACUUGAGCCAGAUAAACUCUGGAAGAUCUUUAAAAUUAAAUAUAAUAGUUACUGGGUAAAGCGAAUGGAAAACUAGAUCAGAAAUAGAAAUUGUGCCUUACUCUUAUAAUUUCAACCAUGACAAUA
rnacentral:lncRNA from 10 species